UACGGGGGGAGCAAGCGUUGUUCGGAUUUACUGGGCGUAAAGGGCGCGUAGGCGGCGCAACAAGUCACUUGUGAAAUCUCCGGGCUUAACCCGGAGCGGUCAAGUGAUACUGUCGUGCUAGAGUGCGGAAGGGGCUACUGGAAUUCUCGGUGUAGCGGUGAAAUGCGUAGAUAUCGAGAGGAACACCUGCGGCGAAGGCGGGUAGCUGGGCCGACACUGACGCUGAUGCGCGAAAGCCAGGGGAGGCGAACGGG
rnacentral:rRNA from 1 species